UGUCUGGAAGGCUGUGGUUGGUGCAAGGCCAUUUUUGCUGGCUACAAGCGAGGUCUCUGAAACCAAAAAGAGCACACGGCUCUUCUUAAAAUUGGAGGCGUUGGCGUUUAUGCCCGAGAUGAAACUGAGUACUACUUGGGCAAGAGAUGUGCUUAAGUGUAUAGAAAGCAAAAAAAACAAAAAACAAUACAGUGGCUCCUGCAGGCAAACCAAACAAAACCAGAGCGAUCUGGGGAAAAAUACCUCGGGCCCACGGAAGCAGUGGUACAGUUGGCACCAAAUUCCGAAGCAACCUUCCUGCAGAGGCCAUUGGACACAGAAUCCUUGUGAUGCUGUACCCAUCCCAGAUUUAA
rnacentral:lncRNA from 1 species